UUUAUUUGCUCUUGGUACGACCAAGAAUGGGACAGUGAUCUUUUAUACAAUUUGAUACAGUAAGUGGUACAAAAGAAUGUGUUUUAAAUAAAAAGCCAGAGUGGAGUAGCAAAAAUAUUAAAAGAUUAAGUAAAAAAUUGUCGGCAUGGGAAUUAAUCCGAGACCUUGAUGCUGUUUUUUUUUUUUCCACCGUCCGAGUCCGAGGGCGAGCCCGGCGUGUGACACGGCCGUGGGACAGAGCCAAGCUCGGGUUUGGUUUAGCAGGACCAAUUUCAUCGUUUAACGCUUUUUUGGUGAGAAAAGGGCAGCGCUGAGCUCCCUCCGCGGGCGGGGCCGGGGGCACGGAGGGGCUGCUGACCCCUUCUCUACUCCACAGGGCUGGGCCGGGCUUCCAAGCAGAGGCUUCACAAGGUUAGUUCGGAACUAGCAGGGAGCUGAGAUACCAGCAGACAUCAGGUUACUGCAAACUCCUCCGAUAUAAUCAUUAUUAUUCAUGUUAUUAUUAUUUUUAGGGGGUUUUUAUCUGUUUCAGCAGCGUGCUGCUCCCUCCUCCCGGUGCCGCCCCGCCUGAGCCCGCGGGGGCAGCUGAGCUCGGACAGAAGAGAAAAAAAGCUCACGUUUAAAACAAGGAUUGUACAUGAAAAUCCCCCUUGGUGUAGAUUUCGCCGUACUUUUUUUUCCCUUUUUGAUCACGUUAGAAAGUGCAGAUUUAGCUGAAAGCGGCCGGACUCUGUACAAGGCUGAGCCCGAGCUCAGCAGCCGCUCGCCUGGAAAGGGUUAACACGCUCGGGGACAAAAUGCCGAAUACAGAGGGACAGGGACACACCUCGGGGAGUCCCCGCCCGGGAGCUCCGGGUUCAAACACCGUCAUUUCAUUCAAAUUCACUCAGCGUUGGCGACUCGGCAGGACAGGGCCAGCACGGCCGGGGACAGCGGCAGGACAGGGCCAGCACGGCCGGGGACAGCGGCAGGACAGGGCCAGCACGGCCGGGGACAGCGGCAGGAGCGGCUGGGAGCGCUGGAACGGCCGCUCCAUCCCGGGAUGAGCCCGGCCGGGAUCGCCGCUCCAUCCCGGGAUGAGCCAGGCCGGGAUCACCGCUCCAUCCCGGGAUCAUCCCGGCAGGGAUUCCCCGCUCCAUCCCGGGAUCAUCCCGGCCGGGAUCCCCGCUCCAUCCCGGGAUCAUCCCGGCCAGGGAUCACCGCUCCAUCCCGGGAUGAGCCCGGCUGGGAUCACCGCUCCAUCCCGGGAUGAGCCCGACAGGGAUCACCGCUCCAUCCCGGCAGGGAUCGCCGCUCCAUCCCGGGAUCAUCCCGGCAGGGAUCGCCGCUCCAUCCCGGGAUCAGCCCGGCUGGAAUCACCCACCGGGAUCCGGAGCAGGGCUGGCCCAGCGCGGCUGCAGACACCGGCAAGCGGAAAGUUUCCAGGGAGGUAAUAAAUUAAACUGCCCGCCGGCUGGUUUCUUUCCUUUCCUUUCCUUUUUCCAUCCAGUCCCUCUCAGCCUUGGCCCGGCCCUGCAGCCCUCGGAGCGGCCGGCGGGGAAGGAGCUGGGAUCGUGUUAAUGAACUGCUGUCAGUUUGGGAAUCCAGGUUAUAUUCAUACACAGAAAGUAGACAACCACAUCACCCUCCAUAGAAACUAGUGCAUGCAAAUAACUCUUCCAUAUGGGGGAAAGGCCGGGGCUAUGAGGGAGGGAGGAGGGGACCACUAGUGACGGACAGGCCUAGGGGGGUUAGGAGGAAUCUCAACAUUUUUACCUCGGAAGCUAAAUCAGUGCUUUGUAUUAAAUUUUUGGCAAACACACCGCGUUGCCAUCCUUUCCAUUAACACAUCACACCAUGGAGAAAUGCAAAUCAAAGCAGCAUGCAGGCAAAAGAAAAGAAAAAAAAACCAAAACAAAACAACCAAAAAAAAAAAAAGAAAGGAAAGAGAGGCAAAGUGAGGAAAAAAUGGCAGCAGGAAGAGUUGGGAAGGGCGGGAUUGGCAAGAGGAGACACAGCAGGUUACAUGGAGUUUGCUUUUGUUUUGCACCACCCUUUGUCCUCGAUGCAUGACACCAACGUUACAGAAAGCAACCACUACAGAGGUGGGGACUCAAUGGCACGGGGGAUGGGAUGUCUCCUGCACAUGCUUCCACCAGAAAAGAGAAAAGAAAGUGAAAAUAAAAGUUCCUUUUUCCACAUAAGGCACAGGACAAAGAAACCCCACUCACGGACUCAAGGCGAAAAUGAGUUUUUCUUGGCUCUUGCCUGAUGCAUCUAGAGAAUAUGGUGACUCAAGCACAUUAUCCAUGACAGAAAAUUCCACUGUUGUACAAAAUCAAUUGUUAAUUCUAACCUUUAUUCUUAUACAAUUUGCAGAAGAGAGUUGAGUAUGAUUGCUCUGGGGUUUAAUGGCAGGAGGGACGGGACUAUAAUACAACCCAAACGUAGUGGCGAGUUGAGCGGGGACAUGGAAAUGAAGUCACGGAGAUGAAUUUCC
ensembl:lncRNA